UUGAAGAAAGUAACUUUUGGAAUAAGCCUUGCAUAAGUUCCUUGGAACAGGACGUCAUAGAGGGUGAGAAUCCCGUAUAUGGUGGGGUAUUUAUUUCAAUGUAAAGUGCUUUCGAAGAGUCGAGUUGUUUGGGAAUGCAGCUCUAAGUGGGUGGUAAAUUCCAUCUAAAGCUAAAUAUUGGCGAGAGACCGAUAGCGAACAAGUACAGUGAUGGAAAGAUGAAAAGAACUUUGAAAAGAGAGUGAAAAAGUACGUGAAAUUGUUGAAAGGGAAGGGCUUGAAAUCAGACUUGGUAUUCAGUGAUCAGCAAUCUCUCGGGGUUGUGCACUUGCUGUUUACUGGGCCAGCAUCGGUUUUGACGGUGAGAUAAUAGCACUUGAAUGUGGCUCUCUUCGGGGAGUGUUUAUAGCUUGUGUUGAUAUCAUCAGUCGGGAUCGAGGAC
rnacentral:rRNA from 1 species